UUUCAAAUCAUAUUUUAGUUAGUGUUAAUUUAUUCUCUACAUUUGGUUUUAUACUUUCCGAAGUCCAUAUAUUUCUAAAUUGUUGACGCUUACCUCGGGAUAGUCGGCCAAAGCCACUAAGAGAUCGUCUUUGGCCAAACAAAAUAAAUCCGAAUAGCCAAGGGACCUCACGUUGGCAGUUCGUCGAUUCCCAGUCCGGUUGCCGGCGAUAUCCAAGACGCUGACCUGUACUGGCGUUUCUCCUAUGGUGGUUAACGUGAGUGUGGACCAGUAGAAGCUGUAGAUGUACUGGCGGGCUAGCGUUGAAUUUUUUGGUCCAUCCAGGUUAUACACCCAAUUGUCACUUCCGAA